rnacentral:rRNA from 1 species
AGUCGAGGGGUAUAGUUCUUCGGAACUAGAGACCGGCGCACGGGUGCGUAACGCGUAUGCAAUCUACCUUUUACAGAGGGAUAGCCCAGAGAAAUUUGGAUUAAUACCUCAUAGCAUAGCAGUCUCGCAUGAGAUCACUAUUAAAGUCACAACGGUAAAAGAUGAGCAUGCGUCCCAUUAGCUAGUUGGUAAGGUAACGGCUUACCAAGGCUACGAUGGGUAGGGGUCCUGAGAGGGAGAUCCCCCACACUGGUACUGAGACACGGACCAGACUCCUACGGGAGGCAGCAGUGAGGAAUAUUGGACAAUGGGCGCAAGCCUGAUCCAGCCAUGCCGCGUGCAGGAUGACGGUCCUAUGGAUUGUAAACUGCUUUUAUACGAGAAGAAACACUCCGACGUGUCGGAGCUUGACGGUAUCGUAAGAAUAAGGAUCGGCUAACUCCGUGCCAGCAGCCGCGGUAAUACGGAGGAUCCAAGCGUUAUCCGGAAUCAUUGGGUUUAAAGGGUCCGUAGGCGGUUUAGUAAGUCAGUGGUGAAAGCCCAUCGCUCAACGGUGGAACGGCCAUUGAUACUGCUAAACUUGAAUUAUUAGGAAGUAACUAGAAUAUGUAGUGUAGCGGUGAAAUGCUUAGAGAUUACA